rnacentral:tRNA from 1 species
GGGCCCGUAGCUCAGUGGCAGAGCGGUCGGCUCAUAACCGAUUGGUCGUUGGUUCGAAUCCAGCCGGGCCCACCA